rnacentral:rRNA from 1 species
CUUGCACCUGAUUGAUUUUGGUCGCCAACGAGUGGCGGACGGAGUGAGUAACACGUAGGUAACCUGCCCAGAAGCGGGGGACAACAUUUGGAAACAGAUGCUAAUACCGCAUAACARCGUUGUUCGCAUGAACAACGCUUAAAAGAUGGCUUCUCGCUAUCACUUCUGGAUGGACCUGCGGUGCAUUAGCUUGUUGGUGGGGUAAYGGCCUACCAAGGCGAUGAUGCAUAGCCGAGUUGAGAGACUGAUCGGCCACAAUGGGACUGAGACACGGCCCAUACUCCUACGGGAGGCAGCAGUAGGGAAUCUUCCACAAUGGGCGCAAGCCUGAUGGAGCAACACCGCGUGAGUGAAGAAGGGUUUCGGCUCGUAAAGCUCUGUUGUUAAAGAAGAACACGUAUGAGAGUAACUGUUCAUACGUUGACGGUAUUUAACCAGAAAGUCACGGCUAACUACGUGCCAGCAGCCGCGGUAAUACGUAGGUGGCAAGCGUUAUCCGGAUUUAUUGGGCGUAAAGAGAGUGCAGGCGGUUUUCUAAGUCUGAUGUGAAAGCCUUCGGCUUAACCGGAGAAGUGCAUCGGAAACUGGAUAACUUGAGUGCAGAAGAGGGUAGUGGAACUCCAUGUGUAGCGGUGGAAUGCGUAGAUAUAUGGAAGAACACCAGUGGCGAAGGCGGCUACCUGGUCUGCAACUGACGCUGAGACUCGAAAGCAUGGGUAGCGAACAGGAUUAGAUACCCUGGUAGUCCAUGCCGUAAACGAUGAGUGCUAGGUGUUGGAGGGUUUCCGCCCUUCAGUGCCGGAGCUAACGCAUUAAGCACUCCGCCUGGGGAGUACGACCGCAAGGUUGAAACUCAAAGGAAUUGACGGGGGCCCGCACAAGCGGUGGAGCAUGUGGUUUAAUUCGAAGCUACGCGAAGAACCUUACCAGGUCUUGACAUCUUGCGCCAACCCUAGAGAUAGGGCGUUUCCUUCGGGAACGCAAUGACAGGUGGUGCAUGGUCGUCGUCAGCUCGUGUCGUGAGA